CCUGGCUCAGGGUGAACGCUGGCGGCGCGCUUAAUGCAUGCAAGUCGAACGUGCCUUCGGGCAAGUGGCAGACGGCUGAGUAACGCGUGAGUAACACACCCUUCGGUGGGGUAUAGCCUCGGGAAACUGAGGGUAAUCCCGCAUACGAUCCUUUCCCCCUGGGGAAAGGAUGAAAGCCUUCGGGCGCCGGAGGAGGAGCUUGCGGCCUAUCAGGUAGUUGGUGGGGUAAUGGCCUACCAAGCCUAAGACGGGUAACCGGUGUGAGAGCACGACCGGUCAGAGGGGGACUGAGACACGGCCCCCACUCCUACGGGAGGCAGCAGCAGGGAAUCUUGCGCAAUGGGCGAAAGCCUGACGCAGCGACACCGCGUGGGGGAAGAAGGCUUUAGGGUUGUAAACCCCUUUUCUCGGGGAAGAGUAAGGACGGUACCCGAGGAAUAAGGUUCGGCUAACUACGUGCCAGCAGCCGCGGUAAUACGUAGGAACCGAGCGUUGUCCGGAUUUACUGGGCGUAAAGGGCGCGUAGGCGGCUUGUUAAGUCUCAUGUGAAAUCUCCCGGCUCAACUGGGAGGGGUCAUGGGAAACUGGCAGGCUUGAGGGCAGCAGAGGAAAGUGGAAUUCCCGGAGUAGUGGUGAAAUGCGUAGAUACCGGGAGGAACACCAGAGGCGAAGGCGGCUUUCUGGGCUGUACCUGACGCUGAGGCGCGAAAGCGUGGGGAGCAAACCGGAUUAGAUACCCGGGUAGUCCACGCCCUAAACGAUGGAUACUAGAUAUGGGGGGUAUCGACCCCUCCCGUGUCGCAGCUAACGCAUUAAGUAUCCCGCCUGAGGAGUACGGCCGCAAGGCUAAAACUCAAAGGAAUUGACGGGGACCCGCACAAGCAGCGGAGCGUGUGGUUUAAUUCGAUGAUAAGCGAAGAACCUUACCAGGGCUUGACAUGCUUCUGAAAGCCCGGGAAACCGGGCCCUCCUUCGGGACAGAUGCACAGAUGUUGCAUGGCUGUCGUCAGCUCGUGCCGUGAGGUGUUGGGUUAAGUCCCGCAACGAGCGCAACCCUUGUCGUUAGUUGUUUUUAUCUAGCGAGACUGCCCCUAAAAAGGGGGAGGAAGGUGGGGAUGACGUCAAGUCAGCACGGCUCUUACGUCCUGGGCUACACACACGCUACAAUGGCCGGUACAGAGGGUUGCCAAGGAGCAAUCCGGAGCUAAUCCCAAAAAGCCGGCCCCAGUUGGAAUUGCAGGCUGAAACUCGCCUGCAUGAACGUGGAGCUGCUAGUAACCGCAGGUCAGCACACUGCGGUGAAUACGUUCCCGGGGGUUGUACACACCGCCCGUCACGUCAUGGAAGUCGGCAACACUUGAAGUCGCUGGGCCAACCCUUCGGGGAGGCAGGCGCCGAGGGUGGGGUCGGUGACUGGGACGAAGUCGUAACAAGGUAG
rnacentral:rRNA from 1 species